rnacentral:piRNA from 1 species
UAUAGUUCAGAAGUGGCCUAGCUUGG